rnacentral:sRNA from 1 species
UUAGCAGUAUUAUCCUUCUGACCAGCAAACAAAUGUAUAUCAACACAGCUCAAAUUUGAUAGAGAGAAAAAACAUCUUUCCAGAAAUUCAAGUUAAAUAUGAAGAAGUUUUAUCGCAAUCAGAUUCUUCAAACACCACAGUUUAUUAUAGAGCAGUAUCUCUAAUUUCUGAUGAAAUGAUUUACUCAAUUUUUACUAGAUUUGGCACAAUAAAAGAAGUUCGAAAUUUUGCACACUAUGCCUUCAUACGGUAUUUAAUAGUCUCUAUCUACUACCAAUGUUUCAUUCUAACAAGUCUAUUAAGUGUAUUUUUAUAAUUCCUCUUAUUGUAAAUGGUUAA